AUUGAACGCUGGCGGCAGGCCUAACACAUGCAAGUCGAGCGGAUGAAGGGAGCUUGCUCCUGGAUUCAGCGGCGGACGGGUGAGUAAUGCCUAGGAAUCCGCCUGGUAGUGGGGGAUAACGUCCGGAAACGGGCGCUAAUACCGCAUACGUCCUGAGGGAGAAAGUGGGGGAUCUUCGGACCUCACGCUAUCAGAUGAGCCUAGGUCGGAUUAGCUAGUUGGUGGGGUAAAGGCCUACCAAGGCGACGAUCCGUAACUGGUCUGAGAGGAUGAUCAGUCACACUAGAACUGAGACACGGUCCAGACUCCUACGGGAGGCAGCAGUGGGGAAUAUUGGACAAUGGGCGAAAGCCUGAUCCAGCCAUGCCGCGUGUGUGAAGAAGGUCUUCGGAUUGUAAAGCACUUUAAGUUGGGAGGAAGGGUAGUAAGUUAAUACCUUGCUGUUUUGACGUUACCAACAGAAUAAGCACCGGCUAACUUCGUG
rnacentral:rRNA from 1 species